UACGGAGGGGGCAAGCGUUAUUCGGAAUUAUUGGGCGUAAAGGGCGCGUAGGCGGCUAGAUGUGUCAAAGGUGAAAUCCCUCGGCUCAACUGAGGAACUGCCUUUGAAACUGUCUGGCUUGAGGCCGGGAGAGGGUAGCGGAAUUCCCAGUGUAGCGGUGAAAUGCGUAGAUAUUGGGAGGAACACCAGUGGCGAAGGCGGCUACCUGGACCGGUUCUGACGCUGAGGGACGAAAGCUAGGGGAGCGAAUGGG
rnacentral:rRNA from 1 species